GCCCGCUCAGAACGACAAAGGAAUUGACGGGACCCCGCACAAGCGGUGGAUCAUGUUUGUUUAAUUCGAUGAUACGCGAAGAACCUUACCAGGUCUUGACAUCCCCCGCGAUGCUUUAGAGAUAAAGCGGAGGUAUUCGGGGAGACAGGUGGUGCAUGGUUGUCGUCAGCUCGUGUCGUGAGAUGUUGGGUUAAGUCCCGCAACGAGCGCAACCCCUAUUGCUAGUUACCAUCAUUAAGUUGGGGACUCUAGCGAGACUGCCAGUGAUGAACUGGAGGAAGGUGGGGAUGACGUCAAAUCAUCAUGCCCCUUAUGACCUGGGCUACAAACGUGAUACAAUGGUCGGUACAAAGGGUUGCCAAGCCGCGAGGUGGAGCUAAUCCCAUAAAACCGAUCGUAGUCCGGAUCGCAGUCUGCAACUCGACUGCGUGAAGUCGGAAUCGCUAGUAAUCGUGAAUCAGAAUGUCACGGUGAAUACGUUCCCGGGCCUU
rnacentral:rRNA from 1 species